GAACGAAGUUACACAGAGGAAGUUUUCGGAUGGAAUCAGUAUAACUUAGUGGCGGACGGGUGAGUAACGCGUGGGAAACCUGCCCUGUACCGGGGGAUAACACUUAGAAAUAGGUGCUAAUACCGCAUAAGCGCACGGAACUGCAUGGUUCUGUGUGAAAAACUCCGGUGGUACAGGAUGGUCCCGCGUCUGAUUAGCCAGUUGGCAGGGUAACGGCCUACCAAAGCGACGAUCAGUAGCCGGCCUGAGAGGGUGAACGGCCACAUUGGGACUGAGACACGGCCCAAACUCCUACGGGAGGCAGCAGUGGGGAAUAUUGCACAAUGGGGGAAACCCUGAUGCAGCGACGCCGCGUGAGUGAAGAAGUAUUUCGGUAUGUAAAGCUCUAUCAGCAGGGAAGAAAAUGACGGUACCUGACUAAGAAGCCCCGGCUAACUACGUGCCAGCAGCCGCGGUAAUACGUAGGGGGCAAGCGUUAUCCGGAUUUACUGGGUGUAAAGGGAGCGUAGACGGCAUGGCAAGCCAGAUGUGAAAACCCAGGGCUCAACCUUGGGAUUGCAUUUGGAACUGCCGGGCUGGAGUGCAGGAGAGGUAAGCGGAAUUCCUAGUGUAGCGGUGAAAUGCGUAGAUAUUAGGAGGAACACCAGUGGCGAAGGCGGCUUACUGGACUGUAACUGACGUUGAGGCUCGAAAG
rnacentral:rRNA from 1 species